UUAUAACAGACUAGCAAUUAUUGCCCCAGAUUUCUCUGCAGUGGAACCUGAUAUUACAACUUUUUAUGUCAUGGAAAAAGUUAUACAUUGAUGUUGCAACUAAGUUCUUUAAAGAAUCACACCUCCUAACAAGGGAUAAACAGAAGUUUAAUGAAUAAUGAUUAUCAAUUGAUACAGAAUAAUUUAUUCUUUACUGGUGGUGGAUUUUAAGCUCUGAAGUCUUUUACACGCAAAUUGUUACUCAUCAAAAUAGAUCUAAUUAAAAGGCUCCAAUCUAGCUGAUUUCAUUAUCCAAAUAUAUUAAAAGACUGUACACCGGCCAUAAAUGGCCACUAACUAUAGAUCUAUUAUUGUAAGUUCACUGUUAAUCAUGAUCACCUAUAAUUAUUUUUCUUACCAUAUACAUCACAGUUAUGUAUAUGUUGAACAAUUGACAGUACUAUGCAUGUCCUUCAAAACUCUUGAAAAAAGCAUUUAUACUGUGACCAGAGGCAAUGAAACUCUCAAAAUAACAUUGAUAAAAGAAAUAAUUUAAUAGGAUGAUUAAAGAAUUUUCAAAAAGAUGCUAGAAUAUUGUAUAAAAUUGUUGUAGAGCAAGUCGGGGCUAUUCCUUCCCCCUGUAUAUAUUUGAGCAUAUUUAUUGUCAUUUUUAGAUGAAGGAGACUCAAAGUGGGAUGUUAAGUUGAAUCCACUACAGUUAAAUUAUGACAAUGAAGGCUGGAUAACAGUUUGUUUUGAUGGUAUAAACCUUGAUCUAGCUCAUGUUGUAUGUCGGCAAAAAGGAUUCACUAAUAUGCUACUACUUUUAAAAUAAGUGAAUGUCCAUCAGUGUCUGAUCUUGUAAUAACUCAAAUUUUGUCCAUCAACUUCAAUUUGCUCGUUAUAUGGUGAAACCAACAUUAUUAGAUAAUAAUUGCUGAUCCUGUUCCAAAUAAACCACCUGCAAAAAUACUGUGUAAAUGCAGAUACUGAUACAAUAAGGGAAACUAAUCCUUACAAAGGU